GUAACACGUGAAUAACCUACCGAAAAGCAGGGGAUAACAUUUGGAAACAGAUGCUAAUACCGUAUAAAACGUGCUGUCGCAUGACAAAACGUUAAAAGGUCCGUUUGGACCACUUUUUGAUGGAUUCGCGGUGCAUUAGUUAGUUGGUGGGGUAAAGGCCCACCAAGACGAUGAUGCAUAGCCGAGUUGAGAGACUGACCGGCCACAUUGGGACUGAGACACGGCCCAAACUCCUACGGGAGGCUGCAGUAGGGAAUCUUCCACAAUGGGCGCAAGCCUGAUGGAGCAACGCCGCGUGUGUGAUGAAGGCUUUCGGGUCGUAAAGCACUGUUGUAUGGGAAGAACGGUAAGGGUAGGAAAUGACCUUUACAUGACGGUACCAUACCAGAAAGGGACGGCUAAAUACGUGCCAGCAGCCGCGGUAAUACGUAUGUCCCGAGCGUUAUCCGGAUUUAUUGGGCGUAAAGCGAGCGCAGACGGUUCGAUAAGUCUGAAGUGAAAGCCCACAGCUCAACUGUGGAAGUGCUUUGGAAACUGUCGAACUUGAGUGCAGUAG
rnacentral:rRNA from 1 species